rnacentral:rRNA from 1 species
GAUGAACGCUGACAGCAUGCUUAACACAUGCAAGUCGAUGGGGAAGUGGUGCUUGCACCCUGGCAACCAUGGCGGACGGGUGAGUAACGCGUAAGGGACUUACCUGCAGGACUGGGAUAACAGGGGGAAACUCCUGACAAGACCGGAUAAUGUCAUGGAGCUGCAUGGCUUUAUGAUGAAAGGAGACGCCUGCGGAGAGCCUUGCGUCCUAUUAGCUAGUUGGUGAGGUAAUGGCUCACCAAGGCGAAGAUAGGUAGCCGGCCUGAGAGGGUGGACGGCCACAAGGGGACUGAGAUACGGCCCUUACUCCUACGGGAGGCAGCAGUGGGGAAUAUUGGACAAUGGGGGCAACCCUGAUCCAGCAAUUCUGUGUGCACGAAGAAGGUUUUCGGAGUGUAAAGUGCUUUCAGCAGGGAAGAAGUAAGUGACGGUACCUGCAGAAGAAGCGACGGCUAAAUACGUG